rnacentral:rRNA from 1 species
CUGGCCUUCGGGCUGGUGUACAGGUGGUGCAUGGUUGUCGUCAGCUCGUGUCGUGAGAUGUUGGGUUAAGUCCCGCAACGAGCGCAACCCUCGUUCUAUGUUGCCAGCGCGUGAUGGUGGGGACUCAUAGGAGACUGCCGGGGUCAACUCGGAGGAAGGUGGGGAUGACGUCAAAUCAUCAUGCCCCUUAUGUCUUGGGCUUCACGCAUGCUACAAUGGCCGGUACAAAGGGUUGCGAAGCCGUGAGGUGGAGCGAAUCCCAAAAAACCGGUCUCAGUUCGGAUUGGGGUCUGCAACUCGACCCCAUGAAGUCGGAGUCGCUAGUAAUCGCAGAUCAGCAACGCUGCGGUGAAUACGUUCCCGGGCCUUGUACACACCGCCCGUCAAGUCACGAAAGUCGGUAACACCCGAAGCCGGUGGCCCAACCCUUGUGGGGGGAGCCGUCGAAGGUGGGACUGGCGAUUGGGACUAAGUCGUAACAAGGUAGCCGUACCGGAAGG